CCCUGUAUUCGAAAGUGAUCGUGGGCUGCCCGUGCCCUGGUCAUUGAUAGUGCAGGGAGAGAAAACGCUGAAAGCAUUUCCCCGUGUUUGGAGGGUCCACUUUGUCCCUUUACAAACUCUGGAGCUUUCCCACA
rnacentral:snoRNA from 1 species